rnacentral:rRNA from 1 species
UACGAAGGGGGCUAGCGUUGCUCGGAAUCACUGGGCGUAAAGCGCACGUAGGCGGCUUUCUAAGUCAGACGUGAAAUCCCCCGGCUUAACCUGGGAACUGCGUCUGAUACUGGGAGGCUUGAGUAUGGGAGAGGGAUGUAGAAUUCCAGGUGUAGCGGUGAAAUGCGUAGAUAUCUGGAGGAACACCGGUGGCGAAGGCGGCAUCCUGGACCAAUAUUGACGCUGAGGAGCGAAAGCCAGGGGAGCAAAGCGGG